UCAAUUGAACUUAAAAAACCCAUUUAAGAAGUUCUUUUUCCCCGUUGAAAAAGUCAGAAAUUUUUAACUUUUUCUAGGCCAAAAGUGCUUUUGGCUAAUUAAUUACUUUUUUGUCAUUAUUAUUUUUCAUGUUUCUUCUUCAUUUCUUCUUCUCUCUAGUUCUUUUUUAUUUUCCUUCCAUCUUCUUCUCUCUAUUCUUUUUUAUUUUCCUUCCAUUUUCUUCAAGAUCUUCAAGGUGAGCUUCCACCGAUGAGCUUCCACGGUUGUACCUGAAGCUAAAAAUUUAAAACAUCGAGCAUUGAUCCUGAAUUCGAAGGGAAGUUAGACCAAAUGUUCAUGGGAGUAGUUGCAACAGGUGAUAAAGCAUGAACACCUUCUUCUGGUACACUCCGUUGUAAAUUUUUUGAGUAUUUUGACAAUUAAAUACCUGAAGAGAAUGAGGAAGAAAAUGUGAGAAAUGAUGUUCACAUUGAUGGAAAUGAUUAAAAAAGAAAAACAGCUAAGAUAUCAACUUCACGUUUUAAAACUGGAAGGAAGAAAUCCUCAAAGCAAAUUGGAAGGGCUACAAGAUUAUUUAGUCAAAUGGAAAAAUUAUGCAAUGCAGCUAAAAAUAUGAGUCAAGCUACAUCUAGUUUGACUCAUGUUAUAGAUCCUUAUAGUAUUCCACAAGCAAUCAAAGUGUUUGAUAGCAUGUCGGAGGAAGUUCCAGAAACUAGUCCCUUAUAUUUUUUAUCAUUGAGAUUAUUACUCAAUAAGGACAAGCGAAUUAUGUUUUUAUCAAUUAAUCCCAAGAUUAGAGCUUUGUGACUUAAGACAGAAAUGGAGGAUAGUUGAAAAUUUUCUAGUUUUCUAGGGUCUAGAGAUAUCUACUAUGUGACUAAACAACAAUGCUAAACUAGUUUUAUCAAUAGUUGUUUAUGUUUGGUUUUUGGAUAUUGAAUUUAUAUUCUACUUAUUUAUGUGUAAUCUAGUUUUAUCAAUAGUUGUUUAUAAUUGAUUUUGGAUAUAAAA